CCUACGGGGGGCUGCAGUGGGGAAUAUUGCGCACUGGGCGACAGCCUGACGCCGCGACGCCGCGUGAGGGAUGAAGGUCUUCUGAUCGUAAACCUCUGUCAGCAGGGAAGAACGGUCACUGUGCUAAUCAGCAGUGCAUUGACGGUACCUGCAAAGGCAGCACCGGCUAACUCCGUGCCAGCAGCCGCGGUAAUACGGAGGGUGCGAGCGUUAAUCGGAAUUACUGGGCGUAAAGCGCUCGUAGGCGGUAUGUCAAGUCAAGGGUGAAAUCCCCGCGCUCAACGGGGGAACUGCCUUUGAAACUGGCAAACUGGAGUGUGUGAGAGGAUAGUGGAAUUCCAGGUGUAGGAGUGAAAUCCGUAGAUAUCUGGAGGAACAUCAGUGGCGAAGGCGACUAUCUGGCACAUAACUGACGCUGAGGAGCGAAAGCGUGGGUAGCAAACAGGAUUAGAUACCCCAGUAGUC
rnacentral:rRNA from 1 species